GAGAAGAUGACAAAGAAGAAAAAUAAGGUAUAAGAAUAGGUUAUUAUUGCCAAAUAAGGAAUUUGCAUCUCAGUAAGCCAAGCAGAGCAGUAACUCACUUUUUCUGGAAAAAGUAAGCUUUGAUUCACAACUGGAAAUAAAUUCUUUUCUAGAAGACACGAACAUUUUUUAAAAAAAAAUUGAUAUGAAAACUUGUAAUGUGAACUGCAUUAUUUUUUAUGAACUGGAAUGAAAAACAUUUUCUGUUUUAGAGUGAGAUAAAAUGUUACAGGUGUUAAUUAGAUACCUCCUAUGUAAGCAGUGCUAAUUAGAUACCUCCUAUGUAAACAGUGCUUUUAUGCAGUCCAUAUUUUGUCUGAUCAUCAGAAUACCAUCCCCACCUCCUCUCCUGCCUAUAAAAUCAUCUUUAUCCAUCCAUACCUAAGCGUAUAUGUGUAUAUACAUACAUAUAUAUAUACACAUAGAUAUUACUGGAAUACAUUGUGCAUUAGUGCAUUUAGCAAAAGUAGCAAAUUAUAAGUGAUAUACUGCCCCAAUCCUCCCUAACCAUGCACCUGUAUCUUUGGUUGUCCGACAUAACUGAUAAGAAGUACUGGGGCAUGAGUGCCAAUGGCAAGUCUGUUUUUUUUUCUAGGAAACCCAUUUUCCAUUCAAAGUAAAUUUCUAGGAAGCUAUUCUUCAAAAUCCUUAAAAGGCAUCUAUCGUAAUGUCUUGCAACAUGUGCAUGAAUUUCAUGGAUUAAUUGAAGAACGAAUUAAAAGGCAGACAGUUAAUCCAUUUCGCUCCCCCCCCUUUUUUUGAAGUGAUUUGACAGCCAUAGUCAUUUUCUGCAAGAAUCUGACACUGUUUACAUGCUAUUUGAACUGAUCACCAGGCUUUCUAUCCUAAACCCAGCAAGAUGUUUGAUCUUUUUUUUUCUUUUUGUAGAAACAUGAAGCUUACAGAAAAAAAAAAAAAAUCCUGUCCCUCUGAAAGACAAAAAAGAGAAGAGGUCUGAAAUUUGCUGUUCACUGAGGCUAACAAUGUACAGCAGUGACUAUUAGCACAAAAAAGAAAGAAAGAAAGAAAGAAAGAAAGAAAGAAAGAAAGAAAGAAAGAAAGAAAGAAAGAAAGAAAGAAAGAAAGCACUUGAUUAUGGAGAAUUCUUAUAGAUGACAAUAUUUCUAUUCAAUUGAUGACAACUGUACUGGAUAUUCUGGAUGGAAAAAGGAAGCAAAUCCUGUGAUGGCAUUGAGGACCAAAUUGCAUGCAGUCUGAAGGACACAAGAAAGAGAAAUGAAUGUAAAAUAUUAGUUGGUUGUGAGGGUUGAAAAGAUAGAAACAAAAGGGAAUAUGACAACGGGGGGGGGGGGCAGUAGAAAAUCUGGUGCUUUCCACAUCUUGGAGACUACUGUUUUCUUAAGUUCUAAGUAAAGGAUCCAGUGAGAAGAUCUUAUAUAAUUUUUCAUCUGAAAAUAUCUGGAAGAUAAUAGGUUGCAUUUCUUGUAAACAUGUUUGUAAUAAAGUCAUUGGGCAUUUACUUGUUCUUGGGAAGAGA